GGGGAAUCGCCCUGACCCAGCGGAGCAAACAUGUGGCCGGGUCCAUGGUUCCUGGUGCUGAGUUUCAGCUGUGGAUGUUUGGCUCAGACCCUGACCCAGUCCAGAGCAUCGAUUACCAGGACUCCCGGAAAAAAAGGGAUAAUCACGUGCCAAGUGGCUGGAGCCACGGUUAGCAACAGUAAUCCUCUUCACUGGUACCAGCAGAAACCCGGCCAGCCGCCCACCAGGAUACUCUACUUUGGAGAUGGAAUAGCGCGGGAUCCGGGAGUCGGGGAUUCCUUCAAAGCGGGAAAAGUUUCAAAUUCCGAAUUCCACCUUGUAAUCGAAAAAUUAACACAUGAACAAGCGGCCACUUAUUACUGCGCCUACUGGGUGUACACAGAGCUCGGGUUCGGACGACAGUCAGUGAAACAGCCGCUUCUGAAGUGUUCGGAUCUGCAGUUCCAAAGAAGGAAGGUUGUUCGCUUCAGUGAUGAAGCUGCUGCCGUGGUGUUGCCUGCUCCCGGAGGGUCUCCUCGUGUGGAGCGGUGGGCGAGGGGCUCUGUCACCAGAAACACGCCGCGUGGCCCGGCCAUUGGGGCGGCAGGGAGACUCACAUUGUCCGUCUCCGGGAGACACUGA